UUGAACGCUGGCGGCAGGCCUAACACAUGCAAGUCGAACGGUAACAGGAAGAAGCUUGCUUCUUUGCUGACGAGUGGCGGACGGGUGAGUAAUGUCUGGGAAACUGCCUGAUGGAGGGGGAUAACUACUGGAAACGGUAGCUAAUACCGCAUAACGUCGCAAGACCAAAGAGGGGGACCUUCGGGCCUCUUGCCAUCGGAUGUGCCCAGAUGGGAUUAGCUAGUAGGUGGGGUAACGGCUCACCUAGGCGACGAUCCCUAGCUGGUCUGAGAGGAUGACCAGCCACACUGGAACUGAGACACGGUCCAGACUCCUACGGGAGGCAGCAGUGGGGAAUAUUGCACAAUGGGCGCAAGCCUGAUGCAGCCAUGCCGCGUGUAUGAAGAAGGCCUUCGGGUUGUAAAGUACUUUCAGCGGGGAGGAAGGGAGUAAAGUUAAUACCUUUGCUCAUUGACGUUACCCGCAGAAGAAGCACCGGCUAACUCCGUGCCAGCAGCCGCGGUAAUACGGAGGGUGCAAGCGUUAAUCGGAAUUACUGGGCGUAAAGCGCACGCAGGCGGUUUGUUAAGUCAGAUGUGAAAUCCCCGGGCUCAACCUGGGAACUGCAUCUGAUACUGGCAAGCUUGAGUCUCGUAGAGGGGGGUAGAAUUCCAGGUGUAGCGGUGAAAUGCGUAGAGAUCUGGAGGAAUACCGGUGGCGAAGGCGGCCCCCUGGACGAAGACUGACGCUCAGGUGCGAAAGCGUGGGGAGCAAACAGGAUUAGAUACCCUGGUAGUCCACGCCGUAAACGAUGUCGACUUGGAGGUUGUGCCCUUGAGGCGUGGCUUCCGGAGCUAACGCGUUAAGUCGACCGCCUGGGGAGUACGGCCGCAAGGUUAAAACUCAAAUGAAUUGACGGGGGCCCGCACAAGCGGUGGAGCAUGUGGUUUAAUUCGAUGCAACGCGAAGAACCUUACCUGGUCUUGACAUCCACGGAAGUUUUCAGAGAUGAGAAUGUGCCUUCGGGAACCGUGAGACAGGUGCUGCAUGGCUGUCGUCAGCUCGUGUUGUGAAAUGUUGGGUUAAGUCCCGCAACGAGCGCAACCCUUGUGAUAUGUUACUAACAUUGAGUUGAGGACUCAUAUCAGACUGCCGGUGAUAAACCGGAGGAAGGUGGGGAUGACGUCAAAUCAUCAUGCCCUUUAUGACCUGGGCUACACACGUACUACAAUGGCGUUUAACAAAGAGAAGCGACCUCGCGAGAGCAAGCGGACCUCAUAAAGUGCGUCGUAGUCCGGAUUGGAGUCUGCAACUCGACUCCAUGAAGUCGGAAUCGCUAGUAAUCGUGGAUCAGAAUGCCACGGUGAAUACGUUCCCGGGCCUUGUACACACCGCCCGUCACACCAUGGGAGUGGGUUGCAAAAGAAGUAGGUAGCUUAACCUUCGGGAGGGCGCUUACCACUUUGUGAUUCAUGACUGGGGUG
rnacentral:rRNA from 1 species